rnacentral:rRNA from 1 species
GAUGAACGCUGACAGAAUGCUUAACACAUGCAAGUCAACUGUGGCGGACGGGUGAGUAACGCGCAAAGAACUUGCCUCACAGUUAGGGACAACAUUUGGAAACGAAUGCUAAAACCUGAGACUGUGAGAGAGCUUUGCGUCCCAUUAGCCAGUUGGAGAGGUAACGGCUCACCAAGGCGAUGAUGGGUAGCCGGCCUGAGAGGGUGAUCGGCCACAAGGGGACUGGGACGCGGCCCUUACUCCUACGGGAGGCAGCAGUGGGGAAUAUUGGACAAUGGACCAAAGUCUGAUCCAGCAAUUCUGUGUGCACAAUCAAGUUUUCGGGAUGUAAAGUGCUUUCAGUUGGGAAGCGGUACCCACAGAAGAAGUGACGGCUAAAUACGUGCCAGCCGCCGCGGUAAUAC